GGGAAGGUGGGAAUCCUUCCGGCUGAAUAUCUAUGGUUUCCAGAGUAAAGCUGAUCUGCUCUGGGUAAGUCGGGGCCUAAGGAGAGGUCGCAAGACGUAUCCGAUGGACAACAGGUUUAGAUUCCUGUACCGCAUAUAAACAGAACUGUGGGGACGCAUGUGGAAAGCAUAAGCCGGGAAUGGAAAGACCGGUACAAGCGAGGUAGGUGUGUGACAGGCAAAUCCGUCACAUAAGCCGAAGACGUGAUGUGGAGCGAAAUUAAGUAGUGAAGUAUGUGAGCCAUGUGCCGAGAAAAGCCGCUAUUGUUUUAUAUGUGCCCGUACCGUAAACCGACACAGGUGGAUGAGGAGAGAAUCCUAAGGCCGACGGAAGAAGCAUUGUUAAGGAAUUCGGCAAAAUGACCCCGUAACUUCGGGAGAAGGGGUGCCCACUGAAUGGUGGGCCGCAGAGAAUAGGCUCAAGCAACUGUUUAGCAAAAACACAGGUCUAUGCGAAACCGAAAGGUGAAGUAUAUGGGCUGACGCCUGCCCGGUGCUGGAAGGUUAAGAGGAGAGGUUAGCGCAAGCGAAGCUUUGAAUUUAAGCCCCAGUAAACGGCGGCCGUAACUAUAACGGUCCUAAGGUAGCGAAAUUCCUUGUCGGGUAAGUUCCGACCCGCACGAAAGGCGUAAUGAUUUGAGCACUGUCUCGACAAUGCAUCCGGUGAAAUUGAAGUACCAGUGAAGAUGCUGGUUACCCGCGCCAGGACGGAAAGACCCCAUGGAGCUUUACUCCAGUUUGAUACUGGGAUUCGGUACUGCACGUACAGGAUAGGUGGGAGACUGAGAACUAUGGACGCCAGUCUGUAGGGAGUCGCUGUUGGGAUACCACCCCUGUAGUACUGGGUUUCUAACCAUCUGCCGUGAUCCGGCAGUGGGACAAUGUCAGGCGGGGAGUUUGACUGGGGCGGUCGCCUCCGAAAGGGUAUCGGAGGCGCUCAAAGGUUCCCUCAGAAUGGUCGGAAACCAUUUGAAGAGUGCAAAGGCAGAAGGGAGCUUGACUGCGACACCGACGGGUGGAGCAGGUACGAAAGUAGGACUUAGUGAUCCGGUGGUAUAAAGUGGGAUUGCCAUCGCUCAACGGAUAAAAGCUACCCUGGGAUAACAGGCUUAUCACUCCCAAGAGUUCACAUCGACGGAGUGGUUUGGCACCUCGAUGUCGGCUCAUCGCAUCCUGGGGCUGUAGCAGGUCCCAAGGGUUGGGCUGUUCGCCCAUUAAAGCGGUACGCGAGCUGGGUUCAGAACGUCGUGAGACAGUUCGGUCCCUAUCCGGCGCGGGCGGAGGAUAUUUGAGAGGAGCUGUCCUUAGUACGAGAGGACCGGGAUGGACGGACCACUGGUGUAUCUGUUGUCGACCAACGGCAUGGCAGAGUAGCCAAGUCUGGAAGGGAUAAACGCUGAAGGCAUCUAAGCGUGAAGCCCCCCUCAAGAUGAGAUAUCCCUCCUUCGGGAGUAAGACCCCUUGAAGACUACAAGGUAGAUAGGGCAGAGGUGGAAGUGUGGCAACACAUGGAGCUGACUGUUACUAAUAGGUCGAGGGCUUGAUC
rnacentral:rRNA from 1 species